AAGGCACACCCGGAGAACUGAAACAUCUUAGUACCCGGAGGAAGAGAAAGAAAAUUCGAUUCCCUUAGUAGCGGCGAGCGAAACGGGAAGAGCCCAAACCAACAAGCUUGCUUGUUGGGGUUGUAGGACACUCUAUACGGAGUUACAAAGGACGACAUUAGACGAAUCAUCUGGAAAGAUGAAUCAAAGAAGGUAAUAAUCCUGUAGUCGAAAAUGUUGUCUCUCUUGAGUGGAUCCUGAGUACGACGGAGCACGUGAAAUUCCGUCGGAAUCUGGGAGGACCAUCUCCUAAGGCUAAAUACUCUCUAGUGACCGAUAGUGAACCAGUACCGUGAGGGAAAGGUGAAAAGCACCCCGGAAGGGGAGUGAAAUAGAACCUGAAACCGUGUGCUUACAAGUAGUCAGAGCCCGUUAAUGGGUGAUGGCGUGCCUUUUGUAGAAUGAACCGGCGAGUUACGAUUUGAUGCAAGGUUAAGCAGUAAAUGUGGAGCCGUAGCGAAAGCGAGUCUGAAUAGGGCGUUUAGUAUUUGGUCGUAGACCCGAAACCAGGUGAUCUACCCUUGGUCAGGUUGAAGUUCAGGUAACACUGAAUGGAGGACCGAACCGACUUACGUUGAAAAGUGAGCGGAUGAACUGAGGGUAGCGGAGAAAUUCCAAUCGAACCUGGAGAUAGCUGGUUCUCUCCGAAAUAGCUUUAGGGCUAGCCUCAAGUGAUGAUUAUUGGAGGUAGAGCACUGUUUGGACGAGGGGCCCCUCUCGGGUUACCGAAUUCAGACAAACUCCGAAUGCCAAUUAAUUUAACUUGGGAGUCAGAACAUGGGUGAUAAGGUCCGUGUUCGAAAGGGAAACAGCCCAGACCACCAGCUAAGGUCCCAAAAUAUAUGUUAAGUGGAAAAGGAUGUGGCGUUGCCCAGACAACUAGGAUGUUGGCUUAGAAGCAGCCAUCAUUUAAAGAGUGCGUAAUAGCUCACUAGUCGAGUGACACUGCGCCGAAAAUGUACCGGGGCUAAACAUAUUACCGAAGCUGUGGAUUGUCCUUUGGACAAUGGUAGGAGAGCGUUCUAAGGGCGUUGAAGCAUGAUCGUAAGGACAUGUGGAGCGCUUAGAAGUGAGAAUGCCGGUGUGAGUAGCGAAAGACGGGUGAGAAUCCCGUCCACCGAUUGACUAAGGUUUCCAGAGGAAGGCUCGUCCGCUCUGGGUUAGUCGGGUCCUAAGCUGAGGCCGACAGGCGUAGGCGAUGGAUAACAGGUUGAUAUUCCUGUACCACCUAUAAUCGUUUUAAUCGAUGGGGGGACGCAGUAGGAUAGGCGAAGCGUGCGAUUGGAUUGCACGUCUAAGCAGUAAGGCUGAGUAUUAGGCAAAUCCGGUACUCGUUAAGGCUGAGCUGUGAUGGGGAGAAGACAUUGUGUCUUCGAGUCGUUGAUUUCACACUGCCGAGAAAAGCCUCUAGAUAGAAAAUAGGUGCCCGUACCGCAAACCGACACAGGUAGUCAAGAUGAGAAUUCUAAGGUGAGCGAGCGAACUCUCGUUAAGGAACUCGGCAAAAUGACCCCGUAACUUCGGGAGAAGGGGUGCUCUUUAGGGUUAACGCCCAGAAGAGCCGCAGUGAAUAGGCCCAAGCGACUGUUUAUCAAAAACACAGGUCUCUGCUAAACCGUAAGGUGAUGUAUAGGGGCUGACGCCUGCCCGGUGCUGGAAGGUUAAGAGGAGUGGUUAGCUUCUGCGAAGCUACGAAUCGAAGCCCCAGUAAACGGCGGCCGUAACUAUAACGGUCCUAAGGUAGCGAAAUUCCUUGUCGGGUAAGUUCCGACCCGCACGAAAGGCGUAACGAUUUGGGCACUGUCUCAACGAGAGACUCGGUGAAAUCAUAGUACCUGUGAAGAUGCAGGUUACCCGCGACAGGACGGAAAGACCCCGUGGAGCUUUACUGUAGCCUGAUAUUGAAAUUCGGCACAGCUUGUACAGGAUAGGUAGGAGCCUUUGAAACGUGAGCGCUAGCUUACGUGGAGGCGCUGGUGGGAUACUACCCUAGCUGUGUUGGCUUUCUAACCCGCACCACUUAUCGUGGUGGGAGACAGUGUCAGGCGGGCAGUUUGACUGGGGCGGUCGCCUCCUAAAAGGUAACGGAGGCGCUCAAAGGUUCCCUCAGAAUGGUUGGAAAUCAUUCAUAGAGUGUAAAGGCAUAAGGGAGCUUGACUGCGAGACCUACAAGUCGAGCAGGGUCGAAAGACGGACUUAGUGAUCCGGUGGUUCCGCAUGGAAGGGCCAUCGCUCAACGGAUAAAAGCUACCCCGGGGAUAACAGGCUUAUCUCCCCCAAGAGUUCACAUCGACGGGGAGGUUUGGCACCUCGAUGUCGGCUCAUCGCAUCCUGGGGCUGUAGUCGGUCCCAAGGGUUGGGCUGUUCGCCCAUUAAAGCGGUACGCGAGCUGGGUUCAGAACGUCGUGAGACAGUUCGGUCCCUAUCCGUCGUGGGCGUAGGAAAUUUGAGAGGAGCUGUCCUUAGUACGAGAGGACCGGGAUGGACAUACCUCUGGUGUACCAGUUGUCGUGCCAACGGCAUAGCUGGGUAGCUAUGUGUGGACGGGAUAAGUGCUGAAAGCAUCUAAGCAUGAAGCCCCCCUCAAGAUGAGAUUUCCCAACUUCGGUUAU
rnacentral:rRNA from 1 species